rnacentral:rRNA from 1 species
GAUGAACGCUGGCGGCGUGCCUAAUACAUGCAAGUCGAGCGAACAGAUGAGAAGCUUGCUUCUCUGAUGUUAGCGGCGGACGGGUGAGUAACACGUGGGUAACCUACCUAUAAGACUGGGAUAACUCCGGGAAACCGGGGCUAAUACCGAAUAAUAUUUUGAACCGCAUGGUUCAAUAGUGAAAGACGGUUUCGGCUGUCACUUAUAGAUGGACCCGCGCCGUAUUAGCUAGUUGGUAAGGUAACGGCUUACCAAGGCGACGAUACGUAGCCGACCUGAGAGGGUGAUCGGCCACACUGGAACUGAGACACGGUCCGGACUCCUACGGGAGGCAGCAGUAGGGAAUCUUCCGCAAUGGGCGAAAGCCUGACGGAGCAACGCCGCGUGAGUGAUGAAGGUCUUCGGAUCGUAAAACUCUGUUGUUAGGGAAGAACAAAUUUGUUAGUAACUGAACAAGUCUUGACGGUACCUAACCAGAAAGCCACGGCUAACUACGUGCCAGCAGCCGCGGUAAUACGUAGGUGGCAAGCGUUAUCCGGAAUUAUUGGGCGUAAAGCGCGCGUAGGCGGUUUCUUAAGUCUGAUGUGAAAGCCCACGGCUCAACCGUGGAGGGUCAUUGGAAACUGGGAAACUUGAGUGCAGAAGAGGAGAGUGGAAUUCCAUGUGUAGCGGUGAAAUGCGCAGAGAUAUGGAGGAACACCAGUGGCGAAGGCGGCUCUCUGGUCUGUAACUGACGCUGAUGUGCGAAAGCGUGGGGAUCAAACAGGAUUAGAUACCCUGGUAGUCCACGCCGUAAACGAUGAGUGCUAAGUGUUAGGGGGUUUCCGCCCCUUAGUGCUGCAGCUAACGCAUUAAGCACUCCGCCUGGGGAGUACGACCGCAAGGUUGAAACUCAAAGGAAUUGACGGGGACCCGCACAAGCGGUGGAGCAUGUGGUUUAAUUCGAAGCAACGCGAAGAACCUUACCAAAUCUUGACAUCCUUUGACCGCUCUAGAGAUAGAGUCUUCCCCUUCGGGGGACAAAGUGACAGGUGGUGCAUGGUUGUCGUCAGCUCGUGUCGUGAGAUGUUGGGUUAAGUCCCGCAACGAGCGCAACCCUUAAGCUUAGUUGCCAUCAUUAAGUUGGGCACUCUAGGUUGACUGCCGGUGACAAACCGGAGGAAGGUGGGGAUGACGUCAAAUCAUCAUGCCCCUUAUGAUUUGGGCUACACACGUGCUACAAUGGAUAAUACAAAGGGCAGCGAAUCCGCGAGGCCAAGCAAAUCCCAUAAAAUUAUUCUCAGUUCGGAUUGUAGUCUGCAACUCGACUACAUGAAGCUGGAAUCGCUAGUAAUCGUAGAUCAGCAUGCUACGGUGAAUACGUUCCCGGGUCU